GGUUAUAAGAUCCCUCAAAGAUGAUGAGGUUAAUAGGUUCGAGGUGGAAGCAUGGUGACAUGUGGAGCUGACGAAUACUAAUCGAUCGAAGACUUAAUCAA
rnacentral:rRNA from 1 species